rnacentral:lncRNA from 1 species
AAUUCAGCUUUCUGAAAAGCUUUGCAGUCACUAGUUUAUUAUUUCUAUUUAUUAUUUCUAUUUCUAUUAAUAUAAAUUUAUAUAAAUAAACAUAUUAUUUAUAUUAUUUAUAUUUAUUAUAUAUAUUGCCAUUCAGUAGAACGAAUAUAGAUUGCAUACGCUGUAAUGCUAUUGAUUUCUUUUUUCUAUUAUAGUACUGGUAGUAGUAACAUUGCCUGGCUUUUACUCCCUCCUCACCUUUUUUUUUUUUUUCUUUUUCCUGCUAACAGCAAACUAAACAAAUGGAAGGCUUCUGCUAAGCUUCGACUCUCACAAAACUCAGCUCCUUGCCUCCAACGAAUCAACAGCCACAAACCCCGUGCAGGCUGGGAAGAAAGAAGAGGGCUAGGUACUGUACAAACACAGGACAGCUGCACAGAUAUUAUCACAGAACAACAGGCUGAAUGGAUUUUGAAAGAUCAGAGUUUAUCAUGCUGCCCCAAGGCAAGAUUAACUAUCCCUGUGUUAUUCCUAAAAGAUGUUUGUAUAAGUCGUUCUUAA